rnacentral:lncRNA from 1 species
CGGUCAGGGAGGUUCAAACGAGAAGGCCUUGUCUGGCCCCAGGAAGCACCCAGGUGCCUCCUCCCUCCAUUUCCCCAUCUCCAGCGGGGCGCUGCCAGGGCGGGCUCCAGGCCUGCCCCAUGCCCCUGCGCACGAGCCUUGAGGCAGGUGGGGUUCCAGCGCGCAGAAGCAGCCCUCAACUGCUCCGAGUGUCUGUUGCUGGCGGUUCAUGGCGGGGAGACGCGCAGCGCGAGAGCAAAGGGCGGUUACCCAAUGGCCUUCGCUCUCAUGGCGUCCUUCUUGGUGUUACCUAAAAAUGAAGCCAAGUGUGAUUAGAAGGACUGAAACCUCAGACACAGGGAGCUGGCCUAUUCACCUUAGAAUCCUCUGGGGUACCCACUACAGUGUCUGCAGCAAGGAGUCAAUAAAGAACCGGGGAACAGACUGGAGCAGAAGGACCACCCAGCAGAGCCAAGCCAAAUCACUGACCCUCAGAGACCUGAUGUGA